rnacentral:rRNA from 1 species
ACUCCUACGGGAGGCAGUAGUGAGGAAUAUUGGUCAAUGGCCGAGAGGCUGAACCAGCCAAGUCGCGUGAGGGAUGACGGCCCUACGGGUUGUAAACUUCUUUUGUCGGGGAACAAAGGCGGAGACGCGUCUCCGGAUGAGUGUACCCGAAGAAAAAGCAUCGGCUAACUCCGUGCCAGCAGCCGCGGUAAUACGGAGGAUGCGAGCGUUAUCCGGAUUUAUUGGGUUUAAAGGGUGCGCAGGCGGGAGAUCAAGUCAGCGGUAAAAUGUCGGGGCUCAACCCCGGCCGGCCGUUGAACCUGGGU